rnacentral:rRNA from 1 species
UACGUAGGGUGCAGGCGUUAAUCGGAAUUACUGGGCGUAAAGCGUGCGCAGGCGGUCUGCUAAGAGAGAUGUGAAAUCCCCGGGCUUAACCUGGGAACUGCGUUUCUAACUGGCAGGCUUGAGUGUGGCAGAGGGGGGUGGAAUUCCGCGUGUAGCAGUGAAAUGCGUAGAGUAUGUCGGAGGAACACCGAUGGCGAAGG